CCUUCCCGUCAUGCCGGCCGCUCCGUUGUGUCGUUCCCCGUCAGGCCGGUCACCCCGCUAGCUGCUCCCUGUCACAUCGAUCUGCUCGCGGUCGUGUCUUCUUGCCAAGGUCUGUCCACCCUUCUAGCACGUACAUGAAUUUUUCAGGCCCCUGCACCAGUAGGUAAAUCGACAACCACCGAGUGCUCCCUCUGAUUGAUGCUUGAGGUUGAUUUGGAACAUCUUCAGUAAUUGCAAUAUUCGAUAACCUGCACGAGGACUUUCCUUUAGGCUAGCGCCUCUGUUAUUGUUGCUGUGAUGACAUGACUUAACUGUCUUUAUUGGUAAACUACAAAUAUCGGUUUGGGACAUUUUGGGAACCCCGUCACUUUGGUAAUUGCAUUUCUAGAAGUCUGAAAAUAGGAAAAACUAUCAAUUUUUGUUCCUAACAUUGGCAUAGAAGAGGACAAAAUCAAUAUAGGCUACCUGAAACGAUCAGUAGAAACAACCUGGAGCUAUACCUUUGGGUUCCAUUUGUUCAGUUAACUACUACUGACGGGAAAUUUGCAACUGCCUUUUAACUGCUCUAAAAAAUUAUGGAUCGGAUGAACUCUUUCUUUGUUGUGCAAUCCGAUUAACCAAGCAUACAAGUGAGGCACUCUUUCUCAAGCAGUCAGAUCAGUUCUAAGUUAUUAGGAGUAGUAACUUAGGCAUCUUUGUUCAGUCAACAAGAAAAUUUAUAAGCUAAUAAGUAGCUCUCAGACUAGAUUGACACCCACUGUCCUACUCCUAUCUUAUAUUUACCAAUUGUUGUCUUGUCUGUUCAUGAUCUAUCUGAAGACUGGGACUAAACUUGUGAAUUCUGUAGGAAAAUCUCAAAUCAAACGAUAAUGUUAUUUCUCGGUUACCACUACUACAUGGUAAAACAAAGGUAAUGUCAAUACAUGGCUAUAUCAUUGCUUGUCACUUGGAACUAUAAUAAUAGCAUUUCAGUUUGUAGAGAGUCCAAUGUGGUGGGCCUGUUGAAGCACGCUCGUCUAUGCAACAUGAUAUGUCUGAGGAUAAUAUUUUACUUCUUUCACUCGAACAGGUUAUAAGUUCUCUUAGUCAUGUGGAAAACAUAAAAUAUACAAUAAUUACUUGCUUAACAUGCCGUGCUUCCAAACCAGGAUGGCGAGCAUGAUAAUGUCAAUGAAACAAGACCGUUUUAUUUAUUCUGUGCUUGAGGUAAUAUUUGCGGGUGUGGAUCGUCUGCAGUUCAACUACUACUGUACCCCGUACAGUAGUUGAGAUAUCUGACGUCCAAUGAUGUCCAGUUCAAUCUAACGGCUCCCCUGCGGAUAGACGUCGCAGCAAAUUUCUCCCUCCGCGUCGUGUGAUCUCAUGGCUGCUCUGCCUCUGAGUUCAAUCAAUUGAAUUCAAAUUAUAAAGUCAGUGCUGCUAGUUCGGUAAGGCCAACAACAAUAUCUGUCGUUGUGGUAGGAUUGGCAGGCGAGAGAACCAUUUGUUGGCUGCCGGAGAAGAAGGCCUUUGACGCGGAAGACCUCUGCGGCGACGAGGUCGUCGCUGUAGCUGCGAUGGGCGUCGGCAACCAUCGGAGCUGCACAGGCUGAGGACACCGUUGGUCCUCUCAGGCAGCGUGGGAGGCGGCCCCACAACCGCUACCAUCGCGGCCGUAGGUUCCUCGGCCGGCGGGAGCAUGGUGAAAAGGUGGCGCACGAUAGUGUUCGUUGGAUUAAAUUGGACAUCGGAUAUGUUCAAUUACUGUACGGUACAGUUAGACUAUAACUGUAGAGGAGCCGCACUGAAUAUUUGCAUGCUUUUGAGUUUUGAAGUUGAAGCUUUCUAUAGCUCCAGGAAAUGAAUACCAUUCCAUCACAUGUACUAUUAUUUUCUCUUUGUAGGUGAGGAAACGACUAAUCAGACAGGCAAAUCUAUUGCAAGACUAGACCAACAGGAGACUACCUAAAAAAGAAGGCGUACUUCACUGAAGAUUCAUAAGAAGCAUGAUUGAGUUGCAGCUGAAGUCUCCGGUUGGAUCAAGAAUCAAA